rnacentral:rRNA from 1 species
GAUAAAAGCUGGCCAGCGAGUGGCGGAAGACGUAGGAGGUACGGGUGAAUCUGUAUUACUGGGCUAAAAACGGGCGGAGGCGGUGUGGUAAUGCUGCUGUGAAAUCCCCGAGGUGAACUUGGGAAUUGCAGUGGAUACUGGCAAGCUGGAGUACGGUAGAGGAAGGUGGAAUUCCCGGUGUAGCAGUGAAAUGCGUAGAGAUCGGGAGGAACACCAGUGGCGAAGGCGGCCUUCUGGACCAGUACUGACGCUCAUGCACGAAAGCGUGGGGAGCAAACAGGAUUAGAUACCCGAGUAGUC